rnacentral:antisense_RNA from 2 species
GUUGGCGGACAAAGCUGGACUUGAUGUUUGGAGAUCUGGCAGUCACUGUGUUCAGAAGCAGCUGGGGGUAAGACCUUGUUUCAGACCUGUUUUCUUCAAACUGCAG